UACGAAGGGGGCUAGCGUUGCUCGGAAUCACUGGGCGUAAAGGGUGCGUAGGCGGGUCUUUAAGUCAGGGGUGAAAUCCUGGAGCUCAACUCCAGAACUGCCUUUGAUACUGAGGAUCUUGAGUUCGGGAGAGGUGAGUGGAACUGCGAGUGUAGAGGUGAAAUUCGUGGAUAUUCGCAAGAACACCAGUGGCGAAGGCGGCUCACUGGCCCGAUACUGACGCUGAGGCGCGAAAGCGUGGGGAGCAAACAGG
rnacentral:rRNA from 1 species